CUCCCUUUGCACUGGAUUGUCACAGAUUCAUUAAGCCCGUCUGAACUGUAGCAACCGGCCCAAAAUAGAAGCUUAGUGCAUUGGAACCCAUUCAAUAGCUCUCAGAUUACACGGAAAUUAUUACAUUUCUGCGAAGCUACGUAUACCUCUUGUUGAUUUAGCUGUAUUUCCAGCUGCCUCCCACACCUCCCACCUUAGUUGCGACGAAUAGGAAGUAAAUAAUAAAAUAGUACGAAUACAUAUGUCACUCACUGUAGUAUAUAUAGCUUCAGUUUCCCAGUCUGACGCGACCGGUCAAGCGAAUGGUUUCAACGGAGUUUUACAGCAUUUUUACAGCUACCAAAAGUGGGUCAGACGUUAGCAUUUGAAAAUCGGAGACGGAGUUUACGUUUAUUGAUUAAUGCGUAUAAAAAUAAUCAAACAAUAUAUUUUUUCUGUUUUGCUUAGUAAAUAAAUAGCGAGCACAAUGAAGCUUAAGAAAGUCUAGCAAGCUUUCAGCUGUGACAAACGUUCAAUAAAUAUAUUUCUUUGCUUUUUUUAGACUUGUUCACUUUUGUUAAAAAUGUGAAUAAGUUUAAUAUUUAAUUUAUUACGUUAAACAUUCUUUUUUUUAUUUGUUUGCUAUUAAUGCUUGUGUACAUAUCGUUUAUGUACUUUUAACUGCCGUAUUUCAGAGGUCGCAGCUCAAAGUAUUUGUCCAGCACCUCAUCCGUGAUCAGUUUACGCGCAGCCUGAUGCUGCUCCACAAUGGGCGUAACAGUCUGCAGGCCAACGAAUUGAUAUCAAUGUCUUACUUAACUUGUGGAUAACUUCACAUUAGCUUACCUCAAUAGCGAGCUUCUUGAUUUCUCCGGUGAGCAUUUCACCCUUGCUGUAGGCUACACGCACUUCCUCCAGCUUGGCAUCGUCCUCGAGGAAGAAUUUCAACAGCUGAUAGGCCACAUCAAUGUCGGGAAUGCCGCCCAGCUUACGAUGCUCCUCCACAGUGACGCGUCCGCCAGAAAAUGCAUAUUUAUUGAUCUUAUUCUUGACCUGCUUCGGCGUGUCGGUUAAGAACACAGCAGAGUUUUGCUCGCUGGCCGACAUUUUCGUCUUGGCGCCCUGCAAUGCUGGAAAGAAGCUUGAGUGCAGCAGCGCACAUUUGGGGAAA